CUCCAAGAUCAUCAAGUCCAGCCUUUGGCCAAAUUACAUCAUGCCCAUUUAAAGCAUAUCAAAGAGUGCCAUGCCUACUUAUUUUUUUAACACUUUCAGGGAUGGUAACUCUACCACUUCCCUGGGGAGCCUGUUCUGAAACUUAACCAGUCUUUUAGUGAAAUUUUUUUCUUAGUUGGUGCCAGAAAGCAUCUACCUGGAAACACUCAGACACUGGUAAUAGUAUAUGGAUCCUGUUGGAGAUAGAGUAUCAUACAAGUAUUGGAUGAAUAGCAAACAGCCUUGCUGCUACAUUUCAAGGCGCAGCCUGAGUCUUGGUGUGCAGAAUAUCAUCCCAUGAGGCAGUGCUGAGACAUCUUCAUCUACAGAAAAGAGUGAGCCCUGCAAAGAGGAUUUUCCAACAUUACAGCAAGGUAGGAACUCUCAGAUAUGGCCAUGCAUAGAUUGCACAGCACAAAGCUAGAUC
rnacentral:lncRNA from 13 species